GAUGAACGCUGGCGGCGUGCCUAAUACAUGCAAGUCGAGCGAACGGACGAGAAGCUUGUUUUUCUGAUGUUAGCGGCGGACGGGUGAGUAACACGUGGAUAACCUCCCUAUAAGACUGGGAUAACUUCGGGAAACCGGAGAUAAUACCGGAUAAUAUUUUGAACCGCAUGGUUCAUUAGUGAAAGACGGUCUUGCUGUCACUUAUAGAUGGAUCCGCGCUGCAUUAGCUAGUUGGUAAGGUAACGGCUUACCAAGGCAACGAUGCAUAGCCGACCUGAGAGGGGGAUCGGCGACACGGGAGCGGAGACAGGGUCCAGGCUCCUGCGGGAGGCAGCAGUAGGGAAUCUGCCGCAAUGGUCGAAAGCCUGACGGAGCAGCGCCGCGUGAGUGAUGAAGGUCUUCGGAUCGUAAAGCUCUGUUAUUAGUGAAAAACAUAUGUGUAAGGAACUGUACACAUCGUGACGGUACCUAAUCAGAAAGCCACGGCUAACUACGUG
rnacentral:rRNA from 1 species